UACGUAGGGUGCGAGCGUUGUCCGGAAUUAUUGGGCGUAAAGAGCUCGUAGGCGGUUUGUUGCGUCGGCCGUGAAAACCUGCAGCUUAACUGUGGGCCUGCGGCCGAUACGGGCAGACUUGAGUUCGGUAGGGGAGACUGGAAUUCCUGGUGUAGCGGUGAAAUGCGCAGAUAUCAGGAGGAACACCGGUGGCGAAGGCGGGUCUCUGGGACGGUACUGACGCUGAGACGCGAAAGCGUGGGGAGCGAACAGG
rnacentral:rRNA from 1 species